rnacentral:lncRNA from 1 species
AAAACGGCAACCAUGGAGCUAUGAAACUUUUAUGUACUCUGUUUAAAUGAUUAUAAUAAAAAUAAUUGUGUGCAUGGUAGCGAUACAAAGGUUCAACCAAGAAAAUAUACCCAAAAAUCCAAAAAACACUGCGACAUUAAAACCUAAUGCAACCUUCGCAAAAAAAAAAAACAAAAAAACCUAUAGUGUAACGACGAGGAACCAGAACCUUCUAACGAACGACGUACGAUGGAGGGUGGACACGACGAGUGCGGACUGC